UUACUACUCCCUCUGUUCGGAAAUACUUGUCGUCAAAAUGGAUAUAAGUAGAUGUAUCUAGAAUUAAAAUACAUCUAGAUACAUCCAUUCCUCGGACAAGUAUUUCCGGACGGAGGGAGUAGUAU
rnacentral:pre_miRNA from 1 species